UGACAAAUUCGAUGAUCGAAUCAACAAUUAGAAUAUAAAUUUGACGGGGCAGAAAAUGAUUAUCGUGUGUCUAUCGGGAAGAAGAUAAAAAUUUCGAUGCUGACACAUAGGUCCGCCCCGACAAGGGAUGGGGUUUUGUUGUAUCC
ensembl:ncRNA K10D6.17 ncRNA